AUUGAGAUUGCUGGGUCACAUGGUAGUUCUGUGUUCCACUUUUUGAGGAACAUCGAAACUGUUUUCCACAGUGGCUUUACCAUUUUGCAUUCCCACCAGCAGU
rnacentral:pre_miRNA from 1 species